rnacentral:rRNA from 1 species
AGCAUACAAGGCAUACGGCUCAGUAACGCGUAGUCAACCUAACCUAUGGACGGGAAUAACCUCGGGAAACUGAGAAUAAUGCCCGAUAGAACAUUAUGCCUGGAAUGGUUUAUGUUCCAAAUGAUUUAUCGCCGUAGGAUGGGACUGCGGCCUAUCAGUUUGUUGGUGAGGUAAUGGCCCACCAAGACUAUUACAGGUACGGGCUCUGAGAGGAGUAGCCCGGAGAUGGGUACUGAGACACGGACCCAGGCCCUAUGGGGCGCAGCAGGCGAGAAAACUUUGCAAUGUGCGAAAGCACGACAAGGUUAAUCCGAGUGGUUACUGCUAAAGAAACCUUUUGUCAGUCCUAGAAACACUGAUGAAUAAGGGGUGGGCAAGUUCUGGUGUCAGCCGCCGCGGUAAAACCAGCACCUCAAGUGGUCAGGAUGAUUAUUGGGCCUAAAGCAUCCGUAGCCGGCUCUGUAAGUUUUCGGCUAAAUCUGUACGCUCAACGUACAGGCUGCCGGGAAUACUGCAGAGCUAGGGAGUGGGAGAGGUAGACGGUACUCGGUAGGAAGGGGUAAAAUCCUUUGAUCUAUUGAUGACCACCUGUGGCGAAGGCGGUCUACCAGAACACGUCCGACGGUGAGGGAUGAAAGCUGGGGGAGCAAACCGGAUUAGAUACCCGGGUAGUCCCAGCUGUAAACUAUGCAAACUCAGCGAUGCAUUGGCUUGUGGCCAAUGCAGUGCUGCAGGGAAGCCGUUAAGUUUGCCGCCUGGGAAGUACGUACGCAAGUAUGAAACUUAAAGGAAUUGGCGGGGGAGCACCACAAGGGGUGAAGCCUGCGGUUCAAUUGGAGUCAACGCCGGG